rnacentral:rRNA from 1 species
AUACGUAGAGGGCGAGCGUUGUCCGGAAUCACUGGGCGUAAAGGGUACGCAGGCGGAAAUACAAGUCAAAUGUGAAAGGUACCGGCUCAACCGGUGAAAUGCAUUUGAAACUGUAUAUCUUGAGUAUAGGAGAGGAGAGCGGAAUUCCUGGUGUAGCGGUGGAAUGCGUAGAUAUCAGGAAGAACACCAGUGGCGAAGGCGGCUCUCUGGCCUACAACUGACGCUCAUGUACGAAAGCUGGGGGAGCGAACGGGAUUAGAUACCCCGGUAGUCCCAGCCGUAAACGAUGGACACUAGGUGUUGGGGGUUCGAAUCCUUCAGUGCCGCAGUUAACGCAAUAAGUAUCCCGCCUGGGGAGUACGGCCGCAAGGUUGAA